AAAACCUUACCUACCCUUGACAUGUACGGAACUUGCCAGAGAUGGCUUGGUGCUCGAAAGAGAGCCGUAACACAGGUGCUGCAUGGCUGUCGUCAGCUCGUGUCGUGAGAUGUUGGGUUAAGUCCCGCAACGAGCGCAACCCUUGUCAUUAGUUGCUACAUUUAGUUGGGCACUCUAAUGAGACUGCCGGUGACAAACCGGAGGAAGGUGGGGAUGACGUCAAGUCCUCAUGGCCCUUAUGGGUAGGGCUACACACGUCAUACAAUGGCUGGUACAAAGGGUUGCCAACCCGCGAGGGGGAGCUAAUCCCAUAAAGCCAGUCGUAGUCCGGAUCGUAGUCUGCAACUCGACUGCGUGAAGUCGGAAUCGCUAGUAAUCGUGGAUCAGAAUGUCACGGUGAAUACGUUCCCGGGUCUUGUACACACCGCCCGUCACACCAUGGGAGCGGGUCUCGCCAGAAGUAGUUAGCCUAACCGCAAGGGGG
rnacentral:rRNA from 1 species